rnacentral:rRNA from 1 species
AGGCCUUGACAUCCCGGUCGCGGCCCCUUGAAAGAGGGGCCUUCAGUUCGGCUGGACCGGUGACAGGUGCUGCAUGGCUGUCGUCAGCUCGUGUCGUGAGAUGUUGGGUUAAGUCCCGCAACGAGCGCAACCCUCGCCCUUAGUUGCCAUCAUUAAGUUGGGCACUCUAAGGGGACUGCCGGUGAUAAGCCGCGAGGAAGGUGGGGUUGAAGUCAAGUCCUCAUGGCCCUUACGGUCUGGGCUACACG